UCCCGAACAGCUAGCCCACCACUUACAUUCAAUGCUUACUUAUAAAUAACCCCUCAUGUACUAACACCAAUAAUUAAACCAUUCUACCCCCUAAGUACGGGCGACAGAAAAGGAAUUCAGGAGCGAUAGAAAAAGUACCGCAAGGGAACGCUGAAAGAGAAAUGAAACAACCCAGUAAAGCUACAAAAAGCAGAGACCAUACCUCGUACCUUUUGCAUCAUGAUUUAGCAAGUAAUAACCAAGCAAAAAGCAUUUUAGUUUGGUCCCCCGAAACCAAGUGAGCUACUCCAAGACAACCUAUAAUUAGGGUAAACCCGUCUCUGUGGCAAAAGAGUGGGAAGAGCUUUGAGUAGAGGUGACAGACCUAUCGAACUUGGUAAUAGCUGGUUGCUUGAGAAACGAAUAGGAGUUCUGCCUCUUAUAUUCUUACCCCACCUCGGUUUAUCAAUAAGCCCUCCCACAGGUAAAAGAAGAUAAGAAAGUUAAUCAAAGAGGGUACAGCCUCUUUGAGAUAAGAUACAACUUUUUCAGGCGGGUAAAGAUCAUAACUUAUUAAGGCACUCAUGUUUUGGUGGGCCUAAAAGCAGCCACCCCAUUAGAAAGCGUUAUAGCUCUAACAUGUCCCUCCCCCCAAUCCCGACAACAAAUCUUAACCCCCUAACUGUAUCAAGCCGCCCCAUAAAAAUAUGGAAGCGAUUAUGCUAAAAUGAGUAAUCAGAGAACAACGCUUCUCUCCCUGUACACGUGUAAAUCGGAACGGACCCCCCACCGAAACUUAACGGCCCCAAGCAAAGAGGGCACUGAAUGGCAAGCAACAAACUAGAAAACCAUCCAAAAUUCAACCGUUAACCCCACACUGGUGUACUUCUAGGGAAAGACUAAAAGGAAAAGAAGGAACUCGGCAAACACACCCAAGCCUCGCCUGUUUACCAAAAACAUCGCCUCUUGUUAACUACACAUAAGAGGUCCCGCCUGCCCUGUGACCCCUGGUUUAACGGCCGCGGUAUUUUGACCGUGCAAAGGUAGCGCAAUCACUUGUCUCUUAAAUGAGGACCUGUAUGAAUGGCAUGACGAGGGCUUAACUGUCUCCUUUUCCCGGUCAAUGAAAUUGAUCUUCCCGUGCAGAAGCGGGAAUACUUGCAUAAGACGAGAAGACCCUAUGGAGCUUUAGACACUAGAACAGAUCAUGUAAACUACUCCCUAAACAAGUAAUAACUAUUGAAUCUCUGUUCCCCUGUCUUUGGUUGGGGCGACCACGGGGAAGAAUAAAACCCCCAUGUGGACUGGGAGCACAAAUCUGACUCCUACAAUUACGAGCCACAGCUCUAAAACGCAGAACCUCUGGCCAGUGAGAUCCGGCAAUGCCGAUUAACGAACCUAGUUACCCUAGGGAUAACAGCGCAAUCCCCUUCAAGAGUCCAUAUCGACAAGGGGGUUUACGACCUCGAUGUUGGAUCAAGACAUCCUAAUGGUGCAACCGCUAUUAAGGGUUCGUUUGUUCAACGAUUAAAGUCUUACGUGAUCUGAGUUCAGACCGGAGUAAUCCAGGUCAGUUUCUAUCUAUGAUAUAUUCUUUUCUAGUACGAAAGGACCGAAAAGAGAAGGCCUAUGUCCUAACAUGCCUUACCCUUACCUAAUGAAAUUAACUAAAGUAGACAAAAGGGCAUUCCCCCAAGCUAUAGAUAAUAGUUU
rnacentral:rRNA from 1 species